rnacentral:rRNA from 1 species
UGCAAGUCGAGCGGAUGACAGGAGCUUGCUCCUGAAUUCAGCGGCGGACGGGUGAGUAAUGCCUAGGAAUCUGCCUGGUAGUGGGGGACAACGUUUCGAAAGGAACGCUAAUACCGCAUACGUCCUACGGGAGAAAGCAGGGGACCUUCGGGCCUUGCGCUAUCAGAUGAGCCUAGGUCGGAUUAGCUAGUUGGUGAGGUAAUGGCUCACCAAGGCGACGAUCCGUAACUGGUCUGAGAGGAUGAUCAGUCACACUGGAACUGAGACACGGUCCAGACUCCUACGGGAGGCAGCAGUGGGGAAUAUUGGACAAUGGGCGAAAGCCUGAUCCAGCCAUGCCGCGUGUGUGAAGAAGGUCUUCGGAUUGUAAAGCACUUUAAGUUGGGAGGAAGGGCAGUAACUUAAUACGUUGCUGUCUUGACGUUACCGACAGAAUAAGCACCGGCUAACUCUGUGCCAGCAGCCGCGGUAAUACAGAGGGUGCAAGCGUUAAUCGGAAUUACUGGGCGUAAAGCGCGCGUAGGUGGUUUGUUAAGUUGGAUGUGAAAGCCCCGGGCUCAACCUGGGAACUGCAUUCAAAACUGACAAGCUAAA